AGCAGCCGCGGUAAUUCCAGCUCCAAUAGCGUAUAUUAAAGUUGUUGCAGUUAAAAAGCUCGUAGUUGAAUUUCGGGGUCAGUAGGUUGGUCAUGCCACUGGUAUGUACUGGUCUCACUGAUUCCUCCUUCCUGAUGAGCCGUAAUGCCAUUAAUUUGGUGUUGCGAGGAAUCUGGACUGUUACUUUGAAAAAUUAGAGUGUUUAAAGCAGGCUAACGCUUGAAUACAUUAGCGUGGAAUAAUGAAAUAGGACGUUCGAUCCUAUUUUGUUGGUUUCUAGGAUUGACGUAAUGAUUAAUAGGGAUAGUUGGGGGCAUUAGUAUUCAAUUGUCAGAGGUGAAAUUCUUGGAUUAUUGAAGACUAACUACUGCGAAAGCAUUUGCCAAGGAUGUUUUCAUUAAUCAAGAACGAAAGUUAGGGGAUCGAAGACGAUCAGAUACCGUCGUAGUCUUAACC
rnacentral:rRNA from 1 species